UACGUAGGUGGCAAGCGUUGUCCGGAUUUACUGGGCGUAAAGGGAGCGUAGGUGGAUAUUUAAGUGGGAUGUGAAAUACUCGGGCUUAACCUGAGUGCUGCAUUCCAAACUGGAUAUCUAGAGUGCAGGAGAGGAAAGUAGAAUUCCUAGUGUAGCGGUGAAAUGCGUAGAGAUUAGGAAGAAUACCAGUGGCGAAGGCGACUUUCUGGACUGUAACUGACACUGAGGCUCGAAAGCGAGGGGAGCAAACAGG
rnacentral:rRNA from 1 species